AAUUUAAAUUAGCUUUUGGGUAGAUUAUGCUGGAUAAAAAGUAACCUUUUUAAAUUUUAAUCCACGAAAAACAACAAUAUCAAAAAUAUAUGUUUUCUUUUUUCGAACACAACCACGCUUAAUUUAUUUCUUAAAAAACAUGAGAUUAUAUGGUAAAGAUUCUUGUGGGAAAUAGUAGAGUUGAUUUUGUGAAAUUUCUAAUUAGUUUAGUGGUGGACAAUUUAUAAAUUUGUAAAAAAGGAAAAAUAGAUAAAAUAGAAAAAUAUAUUAAUUUAGUAGCGAACUAAGAUAUUUUGAGGGUGGAAAUAGCAAGUCUAAGAAUAUUAGCAAUAAACCCCUCAACUUAAGUUGUUGCUCCCGUGAACUUCUAUAUUCCGCGACUCCGGCCAACAUAC